rnacentral:rRNA from 1 species
GACGAACGCUGGCGGCGUGCCUAAUACAUGCAAGUCGAACGCACAGUUUAUACCGUAGCUUGCUCCACCAUAGACUGUGAGUUGCGAACGGGUGAGUAACGCGUAGGUAACCUGCCUGGUAGCGGGGGAUAACUAUUGGAAACGAUAGCUAAUACCGCAUAAUAUUAAUUAUUGCAUGAUAAUUAAUUGAAAGGUGCAAUUGCACCACUACCAGAUGGACCUGCGUUGUAUUAGCUAGUAGGUGAGGUAACGGCUCACCUAGGCGACGAUACAUAGCCGACCUGAGAGGGUGAGCGGCCACACUGGGACUGAGACACGGCCCAGACUCCUACGGGAGGCAGCAGGAGGGAAUCUUCGGCAAUGGACGAAAGUCUGACCGAGCAACGCCGCGUGAGGGAAGAAGGGUUUCGGAUCGUAAAGCUCGGUUGUAAGAGAAGAACGGGUGUGAGAGUGGAAAGUUCACACUGUGACGGUAUCUUACCAGAAAGGGACGGCUAACUACGUG